rnacentral:rRNA from 1 species
AGACCCGAAACCCGGUGAUCUAGCCAUGGGCAGGUUGAAGGUUGGGUAACACUAACUGGAGGACCGAACCGACUAAUGUUGAAAAAUUAGCGGAUGACCUGUGGCUGGGGGUGAAAGGCCAAUCAAACCGGGAGAUAGCUGGUUCUCCCCGAAAGCUAUUUAGGUAGCGCCUCGUGAAUUCAUCUCCGGGGGUAGAGCACUGUUUCGGCUAGGGGGCCAUCCCGGCUUACCAACCCGAUGCAAACUGCGAAUACCGGAGAAUGUUAUCACGGGAGACACACGGCGGGUGCUAACGUCCGUCGUGAAGAGGGAAACAACCCAGACCGCCAGCUAAGGUCCCAAAGUCAUGGUUAAGUGGGAAACGAUGUGGGAAGGCCCAGACAGCCAGGAUGUUGGCUUAGAAGCAGCCAUCAUUUAAAGAAAGCGUAAUAGCUCACUGGUCGAGUCGGCCUGCGCGGAAGAUGUAACGGGGCUAAACCAUGCACCGAAGCUGCGGCAGCGACACUGUGUGUUGUUGGGUAGGGGAGCGUUCUGUAAGCCUGCGAAGGUGGCCUGUGAGGGUUGCUGGAGGUAUCAGAAGUGCGAAUGCUGACAUAAGUAACGAUAAAGCGGGUGAAAAGCCCGCUCGCCGGAAGACCAAGGGUUCCUGUCCAACGUUAAUCGGGGCAGGGUGAGUCGACCCCUAAGGCGAGGCCGAAAGGCGUAGUCGAUGGGAAACGGGUUAAUAUUCCCGUACUUGGUGUUACUGCGAAGGGGGGACGGAGAAGGCUAUGUUGGCCGGGCGACGGUUGUCCCGGUUUAAGCGUGUAGGUGUGUGUUCCAGGUAAAUCCGGUUCACUUUAACACUGAGGCGUGACGACGAGGCACUACGGUGCUGAAGCAACAAAUGCCCUGCUUCCAGGAAAAGCCUCUAAGCAUCAGGUAACAUCAAAUCGUACCCCAAACCGACACAGGUGGUCAGGUAGAGAAUACCAAGGCGCUUGAGAGAACUCGGGUGAAGGAACUAGGCAAAAUGGUGCCGUAACUUCGGGAGAAGGCACGCUGACACGUAGGUGAAGUGAUUUACUCACGGAGCUGAAGUCAGUCGAAGAUACCAGCUGGCUGCAACUGUUUAUUAAAAACACAGCACUGUGCAAACACGAAAGUGGACGUAUACGGUGUGACGCCUGCCCGGUGCCGGAAGGUUAAUUGAUGGGGUCAGCGCAAGCGAAGCUCCUGAUCGAAGCCCCGGUAAACGGCGGCCGUAACUAUAACGGUCCUAAGGUAGCGAAAUUCCUUGUCGGGUAAGUUCCGACCUGCACGAAUGGCGUAAUGAUGGCCAGGCUGUCUCCACCCGAGACUCAGUGAAAUUGAACUCGCUGUGAAGAUGCAGUGUACCCGCGGCAAGACGGAAAGACCCCGUGAACCUUUACUAUAGCUUGACACUGAACAUUGAGCCUUGAUGUGUAGGAUAGGUGGGAGGCUUUGAAGUGUGGACGCCAGUCUGCAUGGAGCCGACCUUGAAAUACCACCCUUUAAUGUUUGAUGUUCUAACGUGGACCCGUAAUCCGGGUUGCGGACAGUGUCUGGUGGGUAGUUUGACUGGGGCGGUCUCCUCCUAAAGAGUAACGGAGGAGCACGAAGGUUGGCUAAUCCUGGUCGGACAUCAGGAGGUUAGUGCAAUGGCAUAAGCCAGCUUGACUGCGAGCGUGACGGCGCGAGCAGGUGCGAAAGCAGGUCAUAGUGAUCCGGUGGUUCUGAAUGGAAGGGCCAUCGCUCAACGGAUAAAAGGUACUCCGGGGAUAACAGGCUGAUACCGCCCAAGAGUUCAUAUCGACGGCGGUGUUUGGCACCUCGAUGUCGGCUCAUCACAUCCUGGGGCUGAAGUAGGUCCCAAGGGUAUGGCUGUUCGCCAUUUAAAGUGGUACGCGAGCUGGGUUUAGAACGUCGUGAGACAGUUCGGUCCCUAUCUGCCGUGGGCGCUGGAGAACUGAGGGGGGCUGCUCCUAGUACGAGAGGACCGGAGUGGACGCAUCACUGGUGUUCGGGUUGUCAUGCCAAUGGCACUGCCCGGUAGCUAAAUGCGGAAGAGAUAAGUGCUGAAAGCAUCUAAGCACGAAACUUGCCCCGAGAUGAGUUCUCCCUGAGACUUUAGGUCUCCUGAAGGAA